rnacentral:rRNA from 1 species
UGGGGAAUAUUGCACAAUGGGGGAAACCCUGAUGCAGCGACCCCGCGUGGAGGAAGAAGGUCUUCGGAUUGUAAACUCCUGUUGUUGGAGAAGAUAAUGACGGUACCCAACAAGGAAGUGACGGCUAACUACGUGCCAGCAGCCGCGGUAAAACGUAGGUCACAAGCGUUGUCCGGAAUUACUGGGUGUAAAGGGAGCGCAGGCGGGAAGACAAGUUGGAAGUGAAAUCUAUGGGCUCAACCCAUAAACUGCUUUCAAAACUGUUUUUCUUGAGUGGUGCAGAGGUAGGCGGAAUUCCCGGUGUAGCGGUGGAAUGCGUAGAUAUCGGGAGGAACACCAGUGGCGAAGGCGGCCUACUGGGCACCAACUGACGCUGAGGCUCGAAAGUGUGGGUAGCAAACAGGAUUAGAUACCCUGGUAGUCCACACCGUAAACGAUGAUUACUAGGUGUUGGAGGAUUGACCCCUUCAGUGCCGCAGUUAACACAAUAAGUAAUCCACCUGGGGAGUACGACCGCAAGGUUGAAACUCAAAGGAAUUGACGGGGGCCCGCACAAGCAGUGGAGUAUGUGGUUUAAUUCGACGCAACGCGAAGAACCUUACCAAGUCUUGACAUCCCUUGACAGACAUAGAAAUAUGUAAUCUCUUCGGAGCAAGGAGACAGGUGGUGCAUGGUUGUCGUCAGCUCGUGUCGUGAGAUGUUGGGUUAAGUCCCGCAACGAGCGCAACCCUUAUGGUCAGUUACUACGCAAGAGGACUCUGGCCAGACUGCCGUUGACAAAACGGAGGAAGGUGGGGAUGACGUCAAAUCAUCAUGCCCUUUAUGACUUGGGCUACACACGUACUACAAUGGCGUUAAACAAAGAGAAGCAAGACCGCGAGGUGGAGCAAAACUCAGAAACAACGUCCCAGUUCGGACUGCAGGCUGCAACUCGCCUGCACGAAGUCGGAAUUGCUAGUAAUCGUGGAUCAGCAUGCCACGGUGAAUACGUUCCC